rnacentral:lncRNA from 13 species
AUGCUGGUGCCGGGCGUAACCGCUGACUUGGGUCCUUGUUGCUUCCCUGGUCCCCUGAUUCCUCCCUUGGGGUGGGCUGAGCGCGCGCACGGUGGCCUGCCACACCUGGGCGGGGCCGCGCGCAGGGCGUGGUCACUGAGGUUGUGCGCAUGCUCACUUGAGGAGUUCUUCCCUUACCGAUCCAGCGUUCCUGGAGGAAGGUCACGUACCGGUUACACGCCACCAUUUUGCCCUCAGUGCGCAUGCUUGAGCUCACUCACUCCACUCCUGAGAUCUUACUGGGAUCAUCACCAGUUUCAGUUCUAGGGGUUAGAAGCCCAAGACCAGAGUGGCGGCAUGGCUGGUUUCUGUGGGGCCCACCCCUUGGUUUAUGGACGGCCGUCUUCCUGCGGAGGAGCGUGCAGCAGGGAGCAGAGGGAGAGGAGGCAAGUUCUCUCCUGUCUCUUCUCAUAAGGGCACUAAUCCCAUCAUGAGAACCCCACCCUCGUGACUUCAUGACCUCCCAAAGGUCCCACCUGCAAACACCAUUCCACUGAGGCUGAUGGUGUCAACGUAUGAAUGUAGAGCGGAAAUAAAUAUGCAUUCUAUGACCCGGUGCA